rnacentral:lncRNA from 1 species
CGCACGUUUUGCUUCGACUUAUGUAGUGCAACCUCGAUGUCUGUCCUAGGUUUAACCUUCUCCCAUUGAACCUCUCGACUUCUACCCCGUGUCUCAGCCCCCUCCACCUAUGGAGGCACCUCUGGAUGGUGCUCCACCUGAAUAUUAAGCCCUUCAGUUGCACCUGCAAAAACCAAAAUAGAAUAGGAUACUAGCUGUCCACUUU